rnacentral:rRNA from 1 species
GACGAACGCUGGCGGCGUGCUUAACACAUGCAAGUCGAACGGAAAGGCCCUGCUUUUGUGGGGUGCUCGAGUGGCGAACGGGUGAGUAACACGUGAGUAACCUGCCCUUGACUUUGGGAUAACUUCAGGAAACUGGGGCUAAUACCGGAUAGGAGCUCCUGCUGCAUGGUGGGGGUUGGAAAGUUUUGGCGGUUGGGGAUGGACUCGCGGCUUAUCAGCUUGUUGGUGGGGUAGUGGCUUACCAAGGCUUUGACGGGUAGCCGGCCUGGGGGGGUGACCGGCCACAUUGGGCCGGAGAUACGGCCCAGACUCCUACGGGAGGAAGCAGUGGGGAAUAUUGCAAAAUGGGCGGAAGCCUGAGGCGGGAAGGCGGCGUGCGGGAUGACGGCCUUCGGGUGGUAAACCGCUUUCGCCUGUGACGAAGCGUGAGUGACGGUAAUGGGUAAAGAAGCACCGGCUAACUACGUG